rnacentral:lncRNA from 1 species
GGCCCAGUAGUUUCAGAGAAAAGAUUUUGUGUAAAAGAUUACUAAGAUUUACGAAAAAAUGGUUAAAAAUUGACUAUAAAGGGCAAUAACUCCUUCAGGGGUCAACUGACCAUUUUGGUCAUGCUGACUUAUUUGUAAAUCUUACUUUGCUGAACAUUAUUGCUGUUUACAGUUUAUCUCUAUCUAUAAUAAUAUUCAAGAUAAUAACCAAAAACAGCAAAAUUUCCUUAAAAUUACCAAUUCAGGGGCAGCAACCCAACAACAGGUUGUCCGAUUCAUCUGAAAAUUUCAGGACAGAUAGAUCUUGACCUGAUAAACACUUUUACCGCUGUCAGAUUUGCUCUAAAUGCUUUGGUUUUU